rnacentral:rRNA from 1 species
UACGAGGGGUGCGAGCGUUAUUCGUUAUGACUGGGUGUAAAGGGUACGUAGGCGGUGCUGACGGUCUUGACGAAAAUCGCGGAGUGUUCCUAUGCAGUCGUCUUUUUUACCAAUGCACUAGAGUUCUGGAGUGGUGGGGACAAUUUCCCGUGUAAGAGUCUAAUCUGUCUAGACGGGAAGAAGGAUAGCCAGCGAAGGCGCUCUCUAUCCUUAACUGACGCUCAGGUACGGAAGCGUGGGGAGCAAACGGG